UACGUAGGGCGCAAGCGUUGUCCGGAAUUAUUGGGCGUAAAGAGCUCGUAGGCGGCCUGUCGCGUCCGCUGUGAAAUCCCGGGGCUUAACCCCGGGCGUGCAGUGGAUACGGGCUGGCUGGAGGCAGGCAGGGGAGAACGGAAUUCCUGGUGUAGCGGUGAAAUGCGCAGAUAUCAGGAAGAACACCCGUGGCGAAGGCGGCUCUCUGGGACGGUACUGACGCUGAGACGCGAAAGCGUGGGGAGCGAACAGG
rnacentral:rRNA from 1 species